rnacentral:rRNA from 1 species
GACGAACGCUGGCGGCGUGCUUAACACAUGCAAGUCGAACGGAAAGGCCCUGCUUUUGUGGGGUGCUCGAGUGGCGAACGGGUGAGUAACACGUGAGUAACCUGCCCUUGACUUUGGGAUAACUUCAGGAAACUGGGGCUAAUACCGGAUAGGAGCUCCUGCUGCAUGGUGGGGGUUGGAAAGCUUCGGCGGUUGGGGAUGGACUCGCGGCUUAUCAGCUUGUUGGUGGGGUAGUGGCUUACCAAGGCUUUGACGGGUAGCCGGCCUGAGAGGGUGACCGACCACAUUGGGACUGAGAUACGGCCCAGACUCCUACGGGAGGCAGCAGUGGGGAAUAUUGCACAAUGGGCGGAAGCCUGAUGCAGCAACGCCGCGUGCGGGAUGACGGCCUUCGGGUUGUAAACCGCUUUCGCCUGUGACGAAGCGUGAGUGACGGUAAUGGGUAAAGAAGCACCGGCUAACUACGUG